CCUACGGGAGGCUGCAGUGAGGAAUAUUGGUCAAUGGACGAGAGUCUGAACCAGCCAAGUAGCGUGAAGGAUGACUGCCCUAUGGGUUGUAAACUUCUUUUAUAAGGGAAUAAAACGAGGCACGUGUGCCUUUUUGCAUGUACUUUAUGCAUAAGGCUCGGCUACCUCCGUGCCAGCCGCCGCGGUAAUACGGGGGAUCCGAGCGUUAUCCGGAUUUAUUGGGUUUAAAGGGAGCGUAGAUGGGUUGUUAAGUCAGUUGUGAAAGUUUGCGGCUCAACCGUAAAAUUGCAAUUGAUACUGGCAGUCUUGAGUACAGGUGAGGUAGGCGGAAUGCGUGGUGUAGCGGUGAAAUGCUUAGAUAUCACGAAGAACCCCGAUUGCGAAGGCAGCUGACUAAACUGUGACUGACAUUGAUGCUCGAAAGUGUGGGUAUCAAACAGGAUUAGAUACCCGAGUAGUC
rnacentral:rRNA from 1 species